rnacentral:rRNA from 1 species
AGUGAACGCUGGCGGUAGGCCUUACACAUGCAAGUCGAACGGCAGCACGAGGGCAACCUUGGUGGCGAGUGGCGAACGGGUGAGUAAUACAUCGGAACAUGUCCUAAAGUGGGGGAUAACGCAUCGAAAGAUGUGCUAAUACCGCAUAUUCUCUGAGGAGGAAAGUAGGGGAUCGCAAGACCUUGCGCUUUUGGAGUGGCCGAUGUCUGAUUAGCCAGUUGGUGAGGUAAAGGCUCACCAAGGCGACGAUCCGUAGCGGGUCUGAGAGGAUGAUCCGCCACACUGGAACUGAGACACGGUCCAGACUCCUACGGGAGGCAGCAGUGGGGAAUUUUGGACAAUGGGGGCAACCCUGAUCCAGCCAUGCCGCGUGCGGGAAGAAGGCCUUCGGGUUGUAAACCGCUUUUAGUCGGGACGAAAGCGCCAGGGUGAAUACCCCUGGUGGUUGACGGUACCGGCGGAAUCAGCACCGGCUAACUACGUGCCAGCAGCCGCAGUAA